CCCCUCUCAGGAUCUCACCUGGAGAGUUUCCAAUACUUUACCAGUCUCAGCUAUGUGAGGGAGAGUCAGUCAGAGGCAUAUCCAUUCCAUUCCUAGCUUGGGUAGUGGCUAGUGAAUGGAAGACAGUCUGCUAUAAGU
rfam:Ornithorhynchus anatinus chromosome X5, whole genome shotgun sequence.